GACGAACGCUGGCGGCGUGCCUAAUACAUGCAAGUAGAACGCUGAAGAGAGGAGCUUGCUCUUCUUGGAUGAGUUGCGAACGGGUGAGUAACGCGUAGGUAACCUGCCUGGUAGCGGGGGAUAACUAUUGGAAACGAUAGCUAAUACCGCAUAAAAUUGAUUAUUGCAUGAUAAUUAAUUGAAAGAUGCAAUUGCAUCACUACCAGAUGGACCUGCGUUGUAUUAGCUAGUUGGUGAGGUAACGGCUCACCAAGGCGACGAUACAUAGCCGGCCUGAGAGGGUGAUCGGCCACACUGGGACUGAGACACGGCCCAGACUCCUACGGGAGGCAGCAGUAGGGAAUCUUCGGCAAUGGGGGGAACCCUGACCGAGCAACGCCGCGUGAGUGAAGAAGGUUUUCGGAUCGUAAAGCUCUGUUGUAAGAGAAGAACGGGUGUGAGAGUGGAAAGUUCACACUGUGACGGUAUCUUACCAGAAAGGGACGGCUAACUACGUGCCAGCAGCCGCGGUAAUACGUAGGUCCCGAGCGUUGUCCGGAUUUAUUGGGCGUAAAGCGAGCGCAGGCGGUUAGAUAAGUCUGAAGUUAAAGGCUGUGGCUUAACCAUAGUAUGCUUUGGAAACUGUUUAACUUGAGUGCAGAAGGGGAGAGUGGAAUUCCAUGUGUAGCGGUGAAAUGCGUAGAUAUAUGGAGGAACACCGGUGGCGAAAGCGGCUCUCUGGUCUGUAACUGACGCUGAGGCUCGAAAGCGUGGGGAGCAAACAGG
rnacentral:rRNA from 1 species